AGGAUGAACACUUAAAAACUUUUGAGAAAGUGUGCAUUAUGAGUAAAAUAAAUUAAUAAAUGAAAAAAUUUAACAACGGAUCUCUUGGUUCUCGCAUCGACGAAGAACGCAGCGAAAUGCGAUAAGUAAUGUGAAUUGCAGAAUUCAGUGAAUCAUCGAAUCUUUGAACGCACAUUGCGCCCCCUGGUAUUCCGGGGGGCAUGCCUGUUCGAGCGUCAUUUCACCACUCAAGCCUCGCUUGGUAUUGGGCAACGCGGUCCGCCGCGUGCCUCAAAUCGUCCGGCUGGGUCUUCUGUCCCCUAAGCGUUGUGGAAACUAUUCGCUAAAGGGUGUUCGGGAGGCUACGCCGUAAAACAACCCCAUUCUAAGGUGAC
rnacentral:misc_RNA from 1 species